ACGGGUGAGUAAUACAUCGGAACGUGCCCUGUAGUGGGGGAUAACUAGUCGAAAGAUUAGCUAAUACCGCAUACGACCUGAGGGUGAAAGUGGGGGACCGCAAGGCCUCAUGCUAUAGGAGCGGCCGAUGUCUGAUUAGCUAGUUGGUGGGGUAAAGGCCCACCAAGGCGACGAUCAGUAGCUGGUCUGAGAGGACGAUCAGCCACACUGGGACUGAGACACGGCCCAGACUCCUACGGGAGGCAGCAGUGGGGAAUUUUGGACAAUGGGCGAAAGCCUGAUCCAGCAAUGCCGCGUGUGUGAAGAAGGCCUUCGGGUUGUAAAGCACUUUUGUCCGGAAAGAAAUGGCUCUGGUUAAUACCUGGGGUCGAUGACGGUACCGGAAGAAUAAGGACCGGCUAACUACGUGCCAGCAGCCGCGGUAAUACGUAGGGUCCAAGCGUUAAUCGGAAUUACUGGGCGUAAAGCGUGCGCAGGCGGUUGUGCAAGACCGAUGUGAAAUCCCCGAGCUUAACUUGGGAAUUGCAUUGGUGACUGCACGGCUAGAGUGUGUCAGAGGGGGGUAGAAUUCCACGUGUAGCA
rnacentral:rRNA from 1 species